AUUACACAUAUACAUAUAUAUGAACAAUUUAAAGUUUACUCAAGAAUGUGUAUUUUUUCUACAUUAUAAAAUGUGGUAUUGGGUUCUAGGAAAUUAUUUCAAACUACACGAUCAUUUGAAGAAGAUAGCUCUUAGGAAAAAAGAGAUGAUCUCCUCUAACUUCUUAGAACCACUGCACUGCCAAAUGGGGAUUUAUUUCUAUUGCCUCAUCCAAGUCAGUUCCAAAGCUUAACUCUUCCAUGAAGUUUUCCAUGAUCAAUCCUGCCUAAGAGAACAGGAACAAACCAGAGAAAAUUAUAUGUGUGAGAAUGGAAUAAGGGCUAUCAGAAGAUAGAAAUUUUGACAUAUUUCUGGAAGAUGGAAGCAUAAAGCAGACUGGAAGAAGCUCUAAUCCAGAAAACAUACAGAAGCCUUCAACGGAUGUGUGGGCUGCUCUUCCUGAGAGAACCAUAAGAAGAUUCCAAGCUUGGCAACGGCAGGUAUGGGGACCAGCAAUAGGAAAUAAGGUGAUAAAAAUGCUACUUCCCUUGUAAAGAGAAAGGGCAGCUGCCUACAAAACAACAGUGAUCUUCUAAGGUGUGAGCAAAAGAAAAUGUAUUGUGCAAUAAAUCUAUGAAGCAAGGAGUUAUUUCAGGACUACUUGAUGACGCCAAAUGUGGUCUUUUGAAGGUUCACAGGUGCUGUGAUGUCUUUCACAGGCAAUGGAUAAAGCAUCCUGCAUUGUCCUAGGCACACUCUGUAGGGAAGAUAUGGGAAUCUGAAGUCAACUUUGCCAAAAUUGCUAGAAGAGAUCAUUUAAAUGGCUUCCAGAGUUCUGGAUGAACAGUUUCUUCAAGAAGGAAUUUGGG
rnacentral:lncRNA from 1 species